CUUCUCGUAGGUGAAAACCUGCGGAGGGAUCAUUACCGAGUUUACAACUCCCAAACCCCAAUGUGAACGUUACCAAACUGUUGCCUCGGCGGGGUCACGCCCCGGGUGCGUCGCAGCCCCGGAACCAGGCGCCCGCCGGAGGAACCAACCAAACUCUUUCUGUAGUCCCCUCGCGGACGUAUUUCUUACAGCUCUGAGCAAAAAUUCAAAAUGAAUCAAAACUUUCAACAACGGAUCUCUUGGUUCUGGCAUCGAUGAAGAACGCAGCGAAAUGCGAUAAGUAAUGUGAAUUGCAGAAUUCAGUGAAUCAUCGAAUCUUUGAACGCACAUUGCGCCCGCCAGUAUUCUGGCGGGCAUGCCUGUCCGAGCGUCAUUUCAACCCUCGAACCCCUCCGGGGGAUCGGCGUUGGGGAUCGGGACCCCUCACACGGGUGCCGGCCCCGAAAUACAGUGGCGGUCUCGCCGCAGCCUCUCCUGCGCAGUAGUUUGCACAACUCGCACCGGGAGCGCGGCGCGUCCACGUCCGUAAAACACCCAACUUUCUGAAAUGUUGACCUCGGAUCAGGUAGGAAUACCCGCUGAACUAGC
rnacentral:rRNA from 1 species